GAUGAAGAACGUAGUGAAAUGCGAUAAGUAAUGUGAAUUGCAGAAUUCAGUGAAUCAUCGAAUCUUUGAACGCACAUUGCGCCCGCCAGCACUCUGGCGGGCAUGCCUGUUCGAGCGUCAUUUCAACCAUCAAGCCCCCAGGGGCUUGUGCUGGGGCCCUGCGGCUGCCCGCGGGCCCUGAAAACCAGUGGCGGGCUCGCUAGUCACACCGAGCGCAGUAGCACAUCUCGCUCAGGGCGUGCGGCGGGCUCCUGCCGUGAAACCCCCCACUGUAACCCCAAAGGUUGACCUCGGAUCAGGUAGGAAUACCCGCUGAACUUAAGCAUAUCAAUAAGCGGAGGA
rnacentral:misc_RNA from 1 species